GCCUGGCUGGCUUAGUUGAUAGAGCAUGCAAGGGACUCUCGAUCCCAAGGUUGUGAGUUCAAGCCCCAUGCUGGGCA